GCUAAGGUGAUUUAGAAUGUUGAUCUCUCUGUUGGAACACAACUUGGCUAUAGUUUUCUAACAGCCUUGUCUACACAUGUAACCAGUUUACUCUUAAGUCCCUGGAUUAGUUAGUCAAAAGGUGCUCUAGAGAAACAGAACCAAAGAAUGUGUAUACAGAGGCAUAUUUAUUUCAAAGAAUUGGCUCAUGUAAUUGUGAAAGCUUGGUUAAGGCCAAAAUUAAGCAGGGCAGAGACUUAGGAAAGAGUUGCAGUUGUGUUCAAAAGCAGUCAGCUGGCUGAAUUUAUCCUCACUUGGAAAAGCAAGUAAAGUUGAGGAUGUAUUGUCAGAUCCUUGUACAGAAGAAAAGAAGUGAAAAUAAUGAAAACAAUGGCAAGAGAAGUUACUAUUUCCCAGAGGAAAAACGCUGCUGUAAAAGGAGCUCAUAUAUUUUAGCUGUGGUGUUAAUUUUGAAGUCAGCAUGAGUCAUUAAAUUAAAGUAUUGUAAUUUGGAAAUAUAUUUAAAAUGAAAAGAAAUAAAAAAGAGUACUAGAAAAUGUACUUCUAAUAGUCUCUUUCAUUUAAGCAAAGAUCAUGUUGAAAUUUAACCACUCUUAGUACUGAAAAAUAUUUUGUUUUAUUUCAGUUAUCUAUUAAAAUCCAGAAGCAUACAUAUUUUUAAAUUUGCUACUGAAACUGAGAUCAGCGGAUCACAAAGCAGUUUGAAAUGAAA
rnacentral:lncRNA from 1 species